UACGUAGGAGGCAAGCGUUGUCCGGAUUUACUGGGUGUAAAGGGUCCGCAGGCGGGCAUCUUAGUUGGUGGUGAAAUCCUUCGGCUUAACCGAAGAACUGCCUCCAAUACUGGAUGCCUUGAAUACAGAAGAGGGUAGUGGAAUUCCAGGUGUAGCGGUGAAAUGCUUAGAUAUCUGGAAGAACACCAGUUGCGAAGGCUGCUGCCUGGUCUGUUAUUGACGCUCAUGGACGAAAGCGUGGGGAUCAAACAGG
rnacentral:rRNA from 1 species